rnacentral:rRNA from 1 species
AUUGAACGCUGGCGGCAGGCCUAACACAUGCAAGUCGAACGGUAACAGGAAACAGCUUGCUGUUUCGCUGACGAGUGGCGGACGGGUGAGUAAUGUCUGGGAAACUGCCUGAUGGAGGGGGAUAACUACUGGAAACGGUAGCUAAUACCGCAUAACGUCGCAAGACCAAAGAGGGGGACCUUCGGGCCUCUUGCCAUCGGAUGUGCCCAGAUGGGAUUAGCUAGUAGGUGGGGUAACGGCUCACCUAGGCGACGAUCCCUAGCUGGUCUGAGAGGAUGACCAGGCACACUGGAACUGAGACACGGCCCAGACUCCUACGGGAGGCAGCAGUGGGGAAUAUUGCACAAUGGGCGCAAGCCUGAUGCAGCCAUGCCGCGUGUAUGAAGAAGGCCUUCGGGUUGUAAAGUACUUUCAGCGGGGAGGAAGGGAGUAAAGUUAAUACCUUUGCUCAUUGACGUUACCCGCAGAAGAAGCACCGGCUAACUCCGUG